GGAGGACUCAGGAAUCCCACCCAAAACUGGAGUUAUUCCCCUCAACAGCCUCUCUGAAAUUGCCAUCAGCAGAAGCUGCAUUGUUUGAAAAGGUAAUUGAAUUUGCUGGAAAGGGCUCAGAAGGAGCUGCUGCCUCCCCAGUUCCCUUCUGCAGUGAGAGUUACCCGAGCUGAGGCUGCUUUGGCCUGCAUUAAUAUUUACAGGCCUGGUUUAUGGAUCUGAAGAUUGAUUUAGCACGAGAGUAAUGCAGGGGAGCAGAUGAGCCAUGGGAAUGGUGAGCUCUGCUUUGCUGAGAUUCAUAAAUCCAAAAGCCAUGCUGAGGUGAAGAGCUUUCAGAGGAGCAGCACCUAAUGCCUGAGAAUCAUUGGAUGUCUGAAGUCUUAAACAAGUUGGAAACUCAUCUUUCACAGGGAUAUGGAAAAUAAUCUUGCUGGGAGGAAGAGAGCUCAAGGGAGAAUAUAGAUGUCCUGUUAAUCAGGACAUAAAAAAGAAAGGAGAAGCUGUGAUGUGACAGUGACUGGUGGGAGAAAAUCUGGCAAACAGCAGAGAGAAGAUUGGGAGAUGUGACAAUUUGGGAAAUGUAUGUAUAAUUUAUAA